AACAACCCAUCAAUGGAAGCAGCUGGCUUCACUGCUCAGGUGAUUAUCCUGAACCAUCCAGGCCCCCGUACUGGAUUGUCACACGGCUCACAUUGCAUGCAAGUUUGCUGAGCUUAUAGAAAAGAUUGAUUGCCGUUCUGGUAAAAAGCUGGAAGAUGGCCCUCAAUUCUUGAAAUCUGGUGGUGCUGCCAUCGUUGAUAGGGUUCCUGUCAAGAACACCACGUGCGUUGAGACCUUCUCAGACUAUCCACCUCUGGGUCGCUUUGCUGUUCGUGAUAUGAGACAGACGGUUGCUGUGGGUGUCAUCAAAGCAGUGGACAAGAAGACUGCUGGAGCUGGCAAGGUCACCAAGUCUGCCCACAAAGCCUGAAAGCCUAAAUGAAUAUUAUCCCUAAUACCUGGCACCCCAGUCUUAAUCAGUGGUGGAAGAACGGUUUCAGAACUGUUUACUUCAAUUGGCCAUUUAAGUUUAGUAGUAAAAGACUGGUCAAUGGUAACAAUGCGUCGUAAAACCUUCAGAAGGAAAGAAUAUUUUGUGGACCACCUUGGUUUUCAUUUUUGCUGUGGCAGUUUUAAGUUAUUAGUUUUUAAAAUCAGCACUCUUUAAUGGAAACAACUUGACCAAAAAUUUGUCACAGAAUUUUCAGACCCAUUAAAAAAGCUUAAUGAG